rnacentral:rRNA from 1 species
AUUGAACGCUGGCGGCAUGCUUUACACAUGCAAGUCGAACGGGGUGGCGGGGCAACCUGCCACUUAGUGGCGAACGGGUGAGUAAUGCAUCGGAACGUGUCCCGCAGUGGGGAUAACGCCGCGAAAGCGGCGCUAAUACCGCAUACGCUCUGUGGAGGAAAGUGGGGGACCUGCGAGGGCCUCACGCUAUGGGGGCGCCGAUGUCCGAUUAGCUUGUUGGUGGGGUAAUGGCCCACCAAGGCGACGAUCGGUAGCUGGUCUGAGAGGAUGAUCAGCCACACUGGGACUGAGACACGGCCCAGACUCCUACGGGUGGCUG